UCCUCCCUUCCUUCCCUCCCUCUCUCGUGGGCUCCUCAGCUGCUGAAUGGCCUCACGUGGCCCAGGAAACCCUUCUGGAGGCUUCUGAUUUGAUGACCAAGGAGCUGAAUGGAAGAGGGCUUUGUGGGUGCCACAAAGGUCUGUCUGCUCUGACGCUGGAUCCUUGGGAAUCCCGAGGACUCUGCUGCCUUCCAGCACACACGGAGGAUGGCUCAGGACAUGCUUCUGCCUCCCAAGAGCCUCCUUGUCUGUGACCAGCUGGAAGGAGAGAGCCAGGUCAGAACUCUGGCCCCCCGGGAGUGAGCCUGCUGCUGGCCUGCUGGGAUGUGUCUUAGUGCAGCCCUCCCCAGCGAUGUCGCUGACCUGGGCCGAGGCACCCAGUCUUUACUCUGGCUGUCGGGAGAACCUUUCCUUCACUGCCAGCCCCAGGGCUCUGAACAGUGGCUAAGCUUCUCAGGGCUGGCUCUUCAGAGAUGCGCUGCGCCUUCAGGAGGACUGUAGAA
rnacentral:lncRNA from 1 species